UGUGUUCAUUGUUAUUAAUAAUAAUCGAUCUGAAAAAAUUUACUGAUAUUAGAUAAUUUUAUUUGUUUAAAAACAGUGAGUCUACCGAGUCUUAAGGUAUUUCGUGCUUAUUAUCAUCAUGGUAGUAAACAAGCUUACCAUAUGGUAUUACUCAUAGAUUUUUCUGGUGCACACGAAUUGCGUCCUGAAAUUACUUUUCCAUAUUAAUUGCGUCCCUGAUUUUCUAAACAACUACACGAUUUGCGUUUCAAAAUAAAAAUAUCAUUUUAUUUCCCAUUUUAUACAGAUUUAAGACUGUCAAUAGCAUACCAAGAUACCAUUAUUAUCAGUACAAAUAAACAAUGCUUAUACAGUCAUAUAACGGAAAUAUAAAUAGCCAGAUAUGAAAAUACCUAUACUUGGAUAAUCGGAUGUUCCCAAUAAAUACAUAAAAUCGACUAGAACGAGAAUCAAGCAAUGUCCAUGACGUGGACAGCGCGGCGACCGUUAUCACAACGGCCGUCGACGACCGCGUCUAUUUUUCCAAUCAGUCACCAGACUGCAGAUCGUACAGUCAUCACGACACCCGGUUUCCGAUCCAUCAUAGGAGGGAGACCUAGAACAGUCGCGAGGACGUCGGACACGCACCACCACCGAGUCCGUCGGUGUAUGUGAAAACGUGUCUGGAAAACCAUGAUCUGGAGGCAUGGACCGUCCACCAGAAACCAUUAUUUUUAUCAGUUAUGUUUUGUGUAUCGAUUGUAUUAAUUCACGUAACUCACGAAAGUACCCAUGUUUAUCACCAUAAUAUACACCGUUAUACUGUCGGACAUCAUGGCUAUUUCAUUUUCAUCAUAUUAUGUCGGAUUGUGCAUUCUACAUCGGACGCGCUCCCCAACAUCCAUAGCAAUGAACAAAAAAUGUGUUAAAGUUUUUCUCUUUUAAUUUUGGCUAAACACCGUUUGUACACCCUUACAUAGUUUAUACUCCAUCAAAAUAAACGACAACUAUAUUUUCUCAUUUAAUACUAUAUUCUUGAAUAAUAUCAUGUAAUUAACUAAAAAUACUCUGUGCAUCUAUAGAUGUCAUUCG